UUAAAGAAGAACUUUGGAAGUAUGGUUACUUUGAGACGUUGAGUUGUGAAAAUGCUAGCACUGUUUGAGACGCCAGGUGGUUUUGCCCUCGUUAGAGUCUUGAAGGAAGGAAAGCUCUCUAAUGUUGAGGAUUUGGGUAAUGAGUUGAACUCAUGACUGCAGAGUCAGCCCGAAAGAUGGUUAAGCUUAAAGCUUUUGACAAGCUUGACAACACAUCUGAAGCUCGAUCUUGAAGCUGUGGCUAAAUUGCUUGAGGGAACUCCAAGCAAAGGGUCUACGCAAGUUUUUGAAAGCAAACUGUGAUGGUGAAACCUUAGCUGUUGCUGAUUCAAAGCUGGUGUGGGUACUUUUGUUUCUUAUAUGCUCUUUCAUUUAUGAAGAUGGGUUGUUUCUUACGGGUUUGCUUCACUUUUGUAGAAAAUAUUUGCACCGCAUAUAUUCGCUAAUAUAGAAAAUAGACUGUGUUCACAACAAUGCUGUUAUGGAGCUUUUACGAGGUCCCAGAAGCCAGCUUACUGAACUUAUACAAGAGCCGAUGCGGCUAGUUUUGCCUCCGUUACCCCUACUCGGCCAAUGAUGUGAAGUGAAGACAUCUUAUUCGUUUGUCCAGCAGUUUAGCAGACAAGACUACAAGAGAAUGUAAAAGUAAAGAAGAUCUCAACCGUGUAAGUAACUUGUAGUACUAACGCACGAUGAUGAGCUUUGUAAUCAAUCAUCCAAAGCAUUAAAAUUUACGAUCCAUUGGAAAAUAUUAGAAGUGGUAAAAAAAUAUGCUUUGUAA